GCAUUCUGAAGUCAGCUACCUGCUUAGCAAGAUGUGUGGGCAGAAAUUCAUCCCGAAAGUGACGUGGACAGACAGUCCUCCGAUCUAUGCUGGAAAUGUCAAGGGCUCUGGAGCUUGACCACCUGGGUUCAAAUGCCACCUUCACUCAUGUUAACAGUGUGGCUUGGGCAACCGACUUUACCUCUCUGCACCUGUUUCUUCAAUGUGCAAAUGGAAAGAACAUCACCUGCCUCUUAGGUUGUUCUAAGGAUAAAUUAUAUGCAAUGCACUUAGAAUACGGCCAGACUAAAAGGUCAUUUCCAGCAUUUACUUUUGAACUAUCAAGGCCUGAUUUUGAAAGACUCCGGACUCCAUGCAAAGUGUCUUAGCUACGAGCUGAAUUGUGUCCCUACCCCUACCUUUAAAUUCCUAUGUUGAAGUCAACCCUCAGUACCUCAGAAUGUGACUAUAUGUGGAGCUAGGGUCUUUAAAGAGGUAUAAUUAAGUUAAAAUAGGUCACUGGGGUGGGCCCUAAUCCAGUGUGACUGGUAUCCUUAUAAGAAGAGAAAAUUAGGGCAUAGACAUAUACAGAAUUGAAGAUGAUGUGGGGAUGCAAGAAGACAGUGGUCAUCUAUAAGCAAAGGAGAGAAGCCUGGAAGAACCAGUCCUGCCAACAUCUUGAUCUUGAACUUCUAGCCGCCAGAACUGCAAAAAAAAGAUAAGUUCCUGUCAUUUAAGCUUUUUUCUGGCAGGCCUAGCAAACUAAAACCAUCUGCAUUAGUCAAGGUUCUCCAGAAAAACUGAAAUAAUA
ensembl:lncRNA novel transcript